rnacentral:tRNA from 1 species
GGAGAGUUAGCUUAGUAGGUAAAGCAUUAUAGACGUUGGUUCGACCCCAACAUUCUCCA